rnacentral:lncRNA from 1 species
UGAGGAAAUAAAAAUAAUUAGUCUUUAGUUACGUAGUAUGCCCACCUUGUUUCUUCUACGGAUGGACACAAGUCUAAUAACUGCCUGCCCUAUUGCAAUAUAUUUCCAUCCAACAAUUCUUUUCUUGUAAGCGAUGAGUAGUGAAGUAAGGAAUCUGCUUUCAAUUUGUAGCCUUUGUCUUAAGACUUUCUUAAACCGUAGGUCGUUACUCCAUCCAUCCAUAGAUCAAAAACAGAAUUUUGAAAGCCGUGGGUACUAAAAAAGUCUUUUGUCUUAAGACUUCUAAACCGUGUGGUCUUAUUUUCCAUCCAUUAAUGACAUUUUCUAGGCUGUUGGUCGUUAUUUCCAAUCCAACAAGUCUUAAACCUCCUAAAUUUUCUCUGUCUUUGUCAAGAUAUUUGUAAGCCGUAGGUAAGGAAUCUGUUUUUAGUUAUAGUCUAUCUUUAGACUUUCUUAAACCGUAACCAUUCAAAUAACUGAAAACAGAUUAUCUCAAGCCGUGGGUACUAAAUCUUUGUAAGCCGUGGGUACUAAAUCUUUGUAAGCCGUGGGUAAGAAAUCUGUUUUCAGUUAUAGUUCUUGUCUUAAGACUUUUUCAAACUGUACCAUUCAAGUAACAUAAAACAGAUUCUCCUAAAAGUCUUUUGUCUUUAAGACUUGUAAGCCGUGUGGUCUUAUUUUUCAUCCACUAAUGACUUUUUUUUCUGGACUGUUGGUCGUUAUUUCCACUCCAACAAGUCUUAGAAACCCCACAUUUUCUUUUUCUUUAUCAAGACAAACUGUAAGCCGUGGGUAAUAAAUCUUUGUAAGCCGUGAGUUAAUCUGUUUUCAGUUAUAGUCCUUUUCUUAAGACUUUCUCAAACAGUACCAUUCAAAUAACUGAAAACAGAAUCACAUAAAAGUCUUUUGUCUUUAAGACUUGUAAGCCAUGUGGUCUUAUUUCCGAUCCAACAAGUCUUAACCUCUUGCAUUUUCUUUGUCUUUGUCAAAACAUUUGUAAGCCGCGGGUAAGGAAUCUAUUUUCAGUUACAAUCUUUGUCUUGAGACUUUCUCAAACCAUAACCAUUCAAAUAACUGAAAACAGAUUCUCUCAAGCCGUGGGUACUAAAUCUUUGUAAGCCGUGGGUAAGGAAUCUGUUUUCAGUUAUAGUCCUUGUCUUAAGACUUUCUCAAACAUUACCAUUCAAAUAACUGAAAAAAGAUUCUCAUAAAAGUUUUUUUGUCUUUAAGACUUAGAAGCCGUGGGUAGUGAAAUAAGGAAUCUGUUUUCAGUUCUUAGUCUCUGUCUUUAAGACAUUCUCAAACUGUGGUCAUUAACUCCAUUCCACUGGAAUAACUGAAAACAGAUUUGGACAAAGCCGUGGGUAGUAAAUCACAGUCUUUUUUUUUGCCUUGAAACUUAUCAGCCGUUUUGUUUUAUUUGCCAUCCCAAACAACUUUUUUUACGCAGCUGGUCGUUAAUUUCCAUCCAGCAAGGCUUAGAACUGCCCCAUAGACAUUGUCUUUCAUAUUAUUUUCCCAUCCAACAUGUCUUUUUACCGAUCUGUCUUUUGUAAGCCAUGAGUAGUGAAAUCAGGAAUCUGCUUUCAAUUAGUAGUCUCUGUCUUGAGAUCUUCUUAAGCCAUUGGUCUUAUUUUCCAUCCACUAAUGGUUUUUUUCUGGGCUGUUGGUCGUUAUUUCCAAUCCAACAAGUCUUAAACCUCCUACAUUUUCUUUGUCUUUGUCCAGACAUUAGUAAGCCGUGGGUAAUGAAUCUAUUUUCAGUUAUAGUCCUUGUCUUAAGACGUUCUCAAACCAUAACCAUUCAAAUAACUGAAAAAAAAAUUCUCUGAAGCCAUGGGUACUAAAUCUUUGUAAGCCGUGGAUAAGGAAUCUGUUUUCAGUUAUAGACUUAUAAGCCGUGGGUGGUAAAGUAAGGAAUCUGUUUUCAGUUCUUAGUCUCAGUCUUUAAGAAAUUCUCAAACUGUGGUCAUUAACUCCAUUCCAUUGGAAUAACUGAAAACAGAUUUGGAAAAGCUGUGGGUAGUAAAUCACAAGUCUUUUUUUUGCCUUGAGACUUAUAAGCCGUUUGGUUUUAUUUGCCAUCCCCAAACAACUUUUUCUCUGCAGCUGGUCGUUAAUUUCCAUCCAGCAAGGCUUAGAACUGCCCCAGUGACAUUGUCUUUCAUAUCAUUUUCCCAUCCAACAUGUCUUUUUACCGAUCUGUCUUUUGUAAGCCAUGAGUAGUGAAAUCAGGAUUCUGCUUUCAAUUAGUAGUCUCUGUCUUGAGAUCUUCUUAAGUCGUUGGUCUUAUUUUCCAUCCACUAAUGGCUUUUUCCUGGGUUGUUGGUCGUUAUUUCCAAUCCAACAAGUCUUAAACCUCCUACAUUUUCUUUGUCUUUGUCGAGACAUUAGUAAGCUGUGGGUAAUGAAUCUGUUUUCAAUUAUAGUCCUUGUCUUAAGAUUUUCUCUAACCAUAACCAUUCAAAUAACUGAAAACAAAUUCUCUCAAACCGUGGGUACUAAAUCUUUGUAAGCCGUGGAUAAAGAAUCUGUUUUCAGAUAUAGUCCUUGUCUUAAGACUUUCUCAAACUGUACCAUUCAAAUAACUGAAAACAGAAAAGUCUUUUCUCCCUAAGACUUGUAAGCCGUGGGUAAUAAAUCUGUCUUUAAGACUUGUAAGCCGUGGAAAAUAAAUCUUUGUCUUUGUCAAGACAUGUGUAAGCCGUGGGUAAUAAAUCUUUGUAAACCGUGGAUAAGAAAUCUGUUUUCAAUUAUAGUCUUUUGUCUUAAGACUGAGCCGCAUGCUCUUAUUUGCCAUCCCCUAACGCCCUUCUUUAUACAUGCACCACCAACUCAUAUUCUCGGUCCAUUUAACAAUCUUGCUAUAGGGGAUGGUAUAAGUUUCUUUUAGAGGUAGCAAGGGACAAUGUUUUCAGUUAUAGUUCUUGUCUUAAAACUUUUUCAAACUGUACCAUUCAAAUAACUGAAAACAGAAAAGUCUUUGGUCUUUAAGACUUGUAAGCCGUGGGUAACAAAUCUUUGCCAAGACAUGUAUAAGCUGUGGGUAAUAAAUCUUUGUAGGCCUGGGAUUUCGGGUAUUCGGAUCGGUUCCGGGUAAGAUCCAUUCGGGUCUGGAUAUUCGGUUAUUUAUAAAUUGUAUCCAAUGAGUACUUGGAACAGUUUGGUUCGGUUUCGGAUCGGUUUCCGGUCGGUUCCGGGUCGGUUCCGGGUAUUAAAUUAUUAAACCGAAACUAAUAUUUUUAUUUAUUUUCUAUUUUCUAUUUUUAUUUUUAAUUUUUUAAAAAAAAAGUUUAAUCCAAAUCGGGUAUAUAUGUAUAGUUUGAAAGUAGUUACAAGGAAAUAGACGUGGUGCAGUGGUAAAAGUUGAUGUACUUUCAACUUUCCCACCCGGGUUCGAAACCCAUGAGGCGCAAAUCCAUAUUUUUUAAACAUUAUUUCGGUUUAAACGGGUACCCGAUCGGAUCCGGAUAAAAACCCGAACCGACCCGAUACCUGUGGAUAUUCAUAAACAUUACCCAUCGGUUAAAUAUGCCUUAUCCGAAACCGAUCCGAACCGGUCCAUUUCGGGUCGGAUCCGGUUCGGUAUUCGGAUCCGAUUAAAAAGUCCCACGCCUAAAUCUUUGUAAGAUGUGGAUAAGAAAUCUGUUUUCAAAUAGUCUUUUGUCUUAAGACUGAGCCGCAUGCUCUUAUUUGCCAUCCCCUAACGCCCUUCUUUAUACAUGCACCACCAACUCAUAUUCUCGGUCCAUUUAACAAUCUUGCUAUAGGGGAUGGCAUAAGUUUCUUUUAUUGGUAGCAAGGGACAAUGUUUUCAGUUAUAGUCCUUGUCUUAGGACUUUCUCAAACUGUACCUUCAAAUAACUGAAAACAAAAAAAUCUUUGGUCUUUAAGACUUGUAAGCCGUGGGUAUAAAUCUUUGUCUUUGUCAAGACAUGUGUAAGUCGUGGGUAAUAAAUCUUUGUAAGCCGUGGGUAAGGAAUCUGUUUUUAUUUAUAGUUUUUUGUCUUAAGACUGAGCCGCAUGCUCUUAUUUGCCAUCCCAUAACGCCCUUCUUUAUACAUGCACCACCAACCCAUAUUGUCGGUCCAUUAGGGGAUGACAUAAGUUUCUUUUAGAGGUAGCAAGAGACAAUAUUUUCAGUUAUAGUCCUUGUCUUAGGACUUUUUCAAACUGUACCAUUCAAAUAACUGAAAACAGAAAAGUCUUUGGUCUUUAAGACAUGUAAGCCGUGGGCAAUAAAUCUUUGUCUUUGUCAAGACAUGUGUAAGCCGUGGGUAAUAAAUCUUUGUAAGCCGUGGGUAAGGAAUCUGUUUUCAGUUAUAAUCUUUUGUCUUAAGACUGAGCCGCAUGCUCUUAUUUGCCAUCCCCUAACGCCCUUCUUUAUACAUGCACCACCAACCCAUAUUCUCGGUCCAUUAGGGGAUGGCAUAAGUUUCUUUUAGAGACUGCAAGAGACAAUGUUUUCAGUUAUAGUCUUUUUUUAGGACUUUCUCAAACUGUACCAUUCAAAUAACUGUAAACAGAGAAAUCUUUGGUCUUUAAGACUUGUAAGCCGUAGGUAAAAAAUCUUUGUCUUUGUCAAAACAUGUGUAAGCCGUGGGUAAUAAAUCUUUGUAAGCCGUGGGUAAGGAAUCUGUUUUCAGUUAUAGUCUUUUGUCUUAAGACUGAGCCGCAUGCUCUUAUUUGCCAUCCCCUAACACCCUUCUUUAUACAUGCACCACCAACCCAUAUUCUCGGUCCAUUAGGGGAUGGCAUAAGUUUCUUUUAGAGAUAGCAAGGGACAAUGUUUUCAGUUAUAGUCUUUGUCUUAGGACUUUCUCAAAUUGUACCAUUCAAAUAACUGAAAACAGAAAAGUCUUUGGUCUUUAAGACUUGUAAGCCGUUGGUAAUAAAUCUCUGUCUUUGUCAAGACAUGUGUAAGCCGUAGGUAAUAAAUAUUUGUAAGCCGAGGAUAAGGAAUCUGUUUUCAGUUAUAGUCUUUUAUCUUAAGACUGAGCCGCAUGCUCUUAUUUGUGAUCCCCUAACGCCCUUCUUUAUACAUGCACCACCAAACCAUAUUCUCGGUCCAUUAGGGGAUGACAUAAGUUUCUUUUAGAGGCAGCAAAGGACAAUGUUUUCAGUUAUAGUCCUUGUUUUAGGACUUUCUUAAAUUGUACCAUUCAAAUAACUGAAAAUAGAAAAGUCUUUGGUCUUUAAGACUUGUAAGCCGUGGGUAAUAAAUUUUUAUCUUUGUCAAGACAUGUGUAAGCCGUGGGUAAAAUUUUUUUGUAAGCCGUGGUAAAGGAAUCAAUUUUCAGUUAUAGUCUUUUGUCUUAAGACUGAGCCGCAUGCUCUUAUUUGCCAUCCCCUAACGCCCUUCUUUAUACAUGCACCACCAACCCAUAUUCUCGGUCCAUUAGGGGAUGGCAUAAGUUUCUCUUAGAGGCAGCAAGGGACAAUGUUUUCAGUUAUAGUCUUUGUCUUAGGACUUUCUCAAAUUGUAACAUUCAAAUAACUGAAAACAGAAAAGUCUUUGGUCUUUAAGACUUGUAAGCCGUUGGUAAUAAAUCUUUGUCUUUGUCAAGAUAUGUGUAAGCCGUGGGUAAUAAAUCUUUUUAAGCCGUGGGUAAGGAAUCUGUUUUCAGUUAUAGUCUUUUGUCUUAAAACUGAGCCGCAUGCUCUUUUUUGCCAUCCCCUAACGCCAUUUUUUAUACAUGCACCACCAACCCAUAUUCUCGGUCCAUUAGGGGAUGGAAUAAGUUUCUUUUAGAGGCAGCAAGGGACAAUGUUUUCAGUUAUAGUCCUUGUCUUAGGACUUUCUCAAACUGUACUAUUCAAAUAACUGAAAACAGAAAAGGCUUUGGUCUUUAAGACUUGUAAGCCGUGGGUAAUAAAUCUUUGUCUUUGUCAAGACAUGUGUAAGCCGUGGGUAAUAAAUCUUUGUAAGAGUGGGUAAGGAAUCUGUUUUCAGUUAUAGUCUUCUGUCUUAAGACUGAGCCGCAUGCUCUUAUUUGCCAUCCCCUAACGCCCUUCUUUAUACAUGCACCACCAACCCAUAUUCUCGGUCCAUUAGGGGAUGGCAUAAGUUUCUUUUAGAGACAGCAAGGGACAAUGUUUUCAGUUAUAGUCCUUGUCUUAGGACUUUCUCAAACUGUACCAUUCAAAUAAUUGAAAACAGAAAAGGCUUUGGUCUUUAAGACUUGUAAGCCGUGGGUAAUAAAUCUUUGUCUUUGUCAAGACAUGUGUAAGCCGUGGAUAAUAAAUCUUUGUAAACCGUGGGUAAGGAAUCUGUUUUCAGUUAUAGUCUUUUGUCUUAAGACUGAGCCGCAUGCUCUUAUUUGUCAUCCCCUAACGCCCUUCUUUAUACAUGCACCACCAACCCAUAUUCUCGGUCCAUUAGAGGAUGGCAUAAGUUUCUUUUAGAGACCGCAAAGGACUGUUUUCAGUUAUAGUCCUUGUCUUAGGACUUUCUCAAACUGUACCAUUCAAAUAACUGAAAACAGAAUAGUCUUUGGUCUUUAAGACUUGUAAGCCGUGGGUAAUAAAUCUUUGUCUUUGUCAAGACAUGUGUAAGCCGUGGGUAAUAAAUCUUUGUAAGCCGUGGGUAAGGAAUCUGUUUUCAGUUAUAGUCUUUUGUUUUAAGACUGAGCCACAUGCUCUUAUUUGCCAUCCCCUAACGCCCUUCUUUAUACAUGCACCACCAACCCAUAUUCUCGGUCCAUUAGGGGAUGUCAUAAGUUUCUUUUAGAGGCAGCAAGGGACAAUGUUUUCAGUUAUAGUCCUUGUCUUAGGACUUUCUCAAACUGUACCAUUCAAAUAACUGAAAACAGAAAAUGCUUUGGUCUUUAAGACUUGUAAGCCAUGGGUAAUAAAUCUUUGUCUUUGUCAAGACAUGUGUAAGCCGUGGGUAAUAAAUCUUUGUAAGCCGUGGGUAAGGAAUCUGUUUUCAGUUAUAGUCUUGUCUUAAAACUGAGCCGUAUGCUCUUAUUUGCCAUCCCCUAACGCCCUUCUUUAUACAUGCACCACCAACCCAUAUUCUCGGUCCAUUAGAAGAUGGCAUAAGUUUCUUUUAGAGACCGCAAGGGACUGUUUUCAGUUUUAGUCCUUGUCUUAGGACUUUCUCAAACUGUACCAUUCAAAUAACUGAAAACAGAAAAGUCUUUGGUCUUUAAGACUUGUAAGCCGUGGGUAAUAAAUCUUUGUCUUUUGUCUUAAAUCUGUUUUCUUUAUACAUGCACCCCCAACCCAUAUUCUCGGUCCAUUAGGGGAUGGCAUAAGUUUCUUUUAAAGGCAGCAAGGGACAAUGUUUUCAGUUAUAGUCCUUGUCUUAGGACUUUCUCAAACUGUACCAUUCAAAUAACUGAAAACAGAAAAAUCUUUGGUCUUUAAGACUUGUAAGCCGUGGGUAAUAAAUAUUUGUCUUUGUCAAGACAUGUGUAAGCCGUGGGUAAUAAAUAUUUGUAAGCCGUGGGUAAAGAAUCUGUUUUCAGUUAUAGUCUUUUGUCUUAAGACUGAGCCGCAUGCUCUUCUUUGCCAUCCCCUAACGCCCUUUUUUAUACAUGCACCACCAACCCAUAUUCUCGGUCCAUUAGGGGAUAACAUAAGUUUUUUUUAGAAGCAGCAAGGGACAAUGUUUUCAGCUAUAGUCCUUGUCUUAGGACUUUCUGAAACUGUACCAUUCAAAUACCUGAAAACAGAAAAGUCUUUGGUCUUUAAGACUUUUAAGCCGUGGUUAAUAAAUCUUUGUCUUUGUCAAGACAUGUGUAAGCCGUGGGUAAUAAAUCUUUGUAAGCCGUGGGUAAGGAAUCUGUUUUCAGUUAUAGUAUUUUGUCUUAAGACUGAGUCGCAUGCUCUUAUUUGCCAUCCCCUAACGCCCUUCUCUAUACAUGCACCACCAACCCAUUUUCUCGAUCCAUUAGGGGAUGGCAUAAGUUUCUUUUAAAGGCAGCAAGGAACAUUGUUUUCAGUUAUAGUCCUUGUCUUGGGACUUUCUCAAACUGUACCGUUCAAAUAACUGAAAACAGAAAAGUCUUUGGUCUUUAAGACUUGUAAGCCGUGGGUAAUAAAUCUUUGUCUUUGUCUAAGACAUGUGUAAGCCGAGGGUAAUAAAUCUUUGUAAGCCGUGGGUAAAGAAUCUGUUUUCAGUUAUAGUCUUUUGUCUUAAGACUGAGCCGCAUGCUCUUAUUUGCCAUCCCCUAACGCCCUUCUUUAUACAUGCACCACCAACCCAUAUUCUCGAUCCAUUAGGGGAUGGCAUAAGUUUUCUUUAGAGGCAGCAAGGGACAUUGUUUUCAGUUAUAUCCUUGUCUUAGGACUUUCUCAAACUGUACCAUUCAAAUAACUGAAAACAGAAAAGUCUUUGGUCUUUAAGACUUGUAAGCCGUGGGUAAUAAAUAUUUGUCUUUGUCAAGACAUGUGUAAGCCGUGGGUAAUAAAUCUUUGUAAGCCGUGGGUAAGGAAUCUGUUUUCAGUUAUAGUCUUUUGUCUUAAGACUGAGCCGUAUGCUCUUAUUUGCCAUCCCCUAACGCCCUUUUUUAUACAUGCACCACCAACCCAUAUUCUCGGUCCAUUAGAAGAUGGCAUAAGUUUCUUUUAGAGACCGCAAGGGACUGUUUUCAGUUAUAGUCCUUGUCUUGGGACUUUCUCAAACUGUACCAUUCAAAUAACUGAAAACAGAAAAGCUUUGGUCUUUAAGACUUGUAAGCCGUGGGUAAUAAAUCUUUGUCUUUGUCAAGACAUGUGUAAGCCGUGGGUAAUAAAUCUUUGUAAGCCGUGGGUAAGGAAUCUGUUUUCAGUUAUAGUCUUUUGUCUUAAGACUGAACCGCAUGCUCUUAUUUGCCAUCCCCUAACGCCCUUCUUUAUACAUGCACCACCAACCCAUAUUCUCGGUCCAUUAGGGGAUGGCAUAAGUUUCUUUUAAAGGCAGCAAGGGACAAUGUUUUCAGUUAUAGUCCUUGUCUUAGGACUUUCUCAAACUGUACCAUUCAAAUAACUGAAAACAGAAAAGUCUUUGGUCUUUAAGACUUGUAAGCCGUGGGUAAUAAAUCUUUGUCUUUGUCAAGACAUGUGUAAGCCGUGGGUAAUAAAUAUUUGUAAGCCGUGGGUAAAGAAUCUGUUUUCAGUUAUAGUCUUUUGUCUUAAGACUGAGCCGCAUGCUCUUCUUUGCCAUCCCCUAACGCCCUUCUUUAUACAUGCACCACCAACCCAUAUUCUCGGUCCAUUAGGGGAUGACAUAAGUUUCUUUUAGAGGCAGCAAGGGACAAUGUUUUCAGCUAUAGUCCUUGUCUUAGGACUUUCUGAAACUGUACCAUUCAAAUAACUGAAAACAGAAAAGUCUUUGCUCUUUAAGACUUUUAAGCCGUGGGUAAUAAAUCUUUGUCUUUGUCAAGACAUGUGUAAGCCGUGGGUAAUAAAUAUUUGUAAGCCGUGGGUAAAGAAUCUGUUUUCAGUUAUAGUCUUUUGUCUUAAGACUGAGCCGCAUGCUCUUCUUUGCCAUCCCCUAACGCCCUUCUUUAUACAUGCACCACCAACCCAUAUUCUCGGUCCAUUAGGGGAUGACAUAAGUUUCUUUUAGAGGCAGCAAGGGACAAUGUUUUCAGCUAUAGUCCUUGUCUUAGACUUUCUGAAACUGUACCAUUCAAAUAACUGAAAACAGAAAAGUCUUUGCUCUUUAAGACUUUAAGCCGUGGGUAAUAAAUCUUUGUCUUUGUCAAGACAUGUGUAAGCCGUGGGUAAUAAAUCUUUGUAAGCCGUGGGCAAUAAAUCUUUGUAAGCCGUGGGUAAGGAAUCUGUUUUCAGUUAUAGUCUUUUGUCUUAAGACUGAGCCGCAUGCUCUUAUUUGCCAUCCCCUAACGCCCUUCUUUAUACAUGCACCACCAACCCAUAUUCUCGGUCCAUUAGGGGAUGGCAUAAGUUUCUUUUAGAGGCAGCAAGGGACAAUGUUUUCAGUUAUAGUCCUUGUCUUAGGACUUUCUCAAACUGUACCAUUCAAAUAACUGAAAACAGAAAAGUCUUUGGUCUUUAAGACUUGUAAGCCGUGGGUAAUAAAUAUUUGUCUUUGUCUAAGACAUGUGUAAGCCGAGGGUAAUAAAUCUUUGUAAGCCGUGGGUAAAGAAUCUGUUUUCAGUUAUAGUCUUUUGUCUUAAGACUGAGCCGCAUGCUCUUAUUUGCCAUCCCC